rnacentral:ncRNA from 1 species
AGGGCAAGUCUGGUGGACACACGCAUGUUGUCCGGCGCCGAGGCCCCCGGCGUUCGACUGCUGACGCCAGGGAAAACGUCGGCCCCUAAGAUCGGGCGCGACUUAGUGGCGUCGCCGCGAGUAUUCUUGUACGGGGAAGCGCACUUCGCUGUCUCAUCCCGUGUGGCCACAGCCUCCUUAACGCGCGCCAGGUGCCGGUGACUUCCGUGUACCGCUUGAGUACGUGCUAAUACCGCCGGACGGCAUUCCCUCGCCGGGUGCCCAGGGAUAUUGAUCGAGCAGCGCGUAAUCAGCUCAUAGCGUAUAUAAGUGGCCAGCAGCCGCGGUA